UCCACCAUGGGUGUAGUGGGUCAGUGUUC
rnacentral:piRNA from 1 species